rnacentral:lncRNA from 1 species
UUCAUGCUGCAAAUUUUCCAUUAGAUCCUGUAAUUUUUCAGUAAAAAUGUUUAGGUCUCCCAGUGGAGAACGGUAUAUAGCUAUUAGUAGUGUUUUGUUUUCCACUAUUUCAGCGACAGCCACUUCGAUGUUGACUUCCGAUGAUAUAGGUAUGAAGUCUGGGCGUUCCCUGACGCCCAGAAAGUGUCCUGGUGUUAAGACAUCGUAGUUGGUAGGAUCAUCAGUAACGGUACACAAUGGUCGUGAGUUUAAAACAGCCUCGAUCUGUAUAAUGACUGUGGUAAACUCUUCAUAGGCGAGAAGACUAGAACCAACGACUUUUCUAAGGUGAGUUUUUAUGGAUCGGACUCCAGCUUCCCACUUCCCUCCAAAAUGAGGUGCUGCUGGUGGAUUAAACUUCCAUCUCGUUCCAUCCUCACACAAGAGAUUGACCACCCGCUUCCACUCCCUAGAAGCAGCAUUAAACGGGAUCUGAGCUCCCUAUCAGCACCGACGAGGUUGGUUUCGCAGUUACUGUAAAGGCACUGACACAGACCAUGGCGCCCUGUGAAUCGUUUGUAAGCCGAUAUAAAUCCAUUGGCUGUAUAAUCGGUAGCUACUUCCAGAUGGAUGGCAGAAGUAGCUAAACAAACAAACAAUAUUAGGUAACUUUUGUAGAUUUUACCACCUCGUCCUCGCAAUGUUUUUAAUUGAAAUGGUCCAGCAUAAUCGACUCCUCUGUGAAGAAAUGGCCUUGAUGGAAUGACCCGAGAUGGGGGAAGCUGACCCAUCAGUUGUUGGCUAGCCUCUAUGCGUUGUUUGGCACAUGUUACGCAUCGCUGUAUGAAUGAGCGAAUCGGUACACGACCUCCAACAACCCAAAAUUGUCUCCGAAUGGAUGAGAGAGUGAGCUGCGUUCCUCCGUCCUUCGGUGAUGAGCAUCGAUGAUGAGACCGGUCAAAUGUGAUUCCUUUGGAAGAAUCAUUGGAUGUUUCUCAUCCCAAUCCAACAAUGCGAACCGGAGACGCCCAGUUAUUCUUAGAAUUCCUUCACUGUCAAGAAAAGGGGUGAGUCUGUAUAAGCACCUUGUUUUGUUCACUGUUCUUCCUUCUUGGAGGGUGCAAAUUUCUGUAUGGAAAUGUUCCUGCUGUGUAUCUUUAACCCAAAACAGAAGGGAACGUUUUAUUUCAGCUGAGAUCCCAGCUGGUGGUAGUGGUAAGAUGAAUGGAAACGGUGUCGCGCUUUUCUUGAUCGACAUCAGAUGGCAUCGGAAGAGGAUGAGAUGGCCAGCAAUCUGAUGACUUGUUGACCCAAUGAGGACCAGACCACCAGAGCGAUUCAUCCUGCAAGCGACGAAUCGGAACGCCACGUGAAGCAAGGUCCGCAGGAUUGUCUUCACUAGGAACGUAAGACCAACGUGCUUCAGGGUGACUACGAAUCCAAGAAAGCGCGACCAUAGAGUCCGUCCACAGAUGUAUUGGAUGGUUACCGAGCUCCAGAGCACUCGCGACGCGUUUAACCAACCGCACUAAAACCACCGAGUCGCGGAAUUGACACAACCUUUAGAGGGGACACUUUGGUUUUAGAGCUUAGAAUUAUUACCCGCACCUCCGCCAAUUUUUCGACUCGUAGAUAGACAACGGCGCCGUACGCGUUGCUCGAAGCAUCAGAAAAUCCGUGAAAUUCAACGCUCGCGAAAGCACGAUCGGUACCAAGCCAACGCGGGACGCGAAUUGUGGGUCAGUCCUAAAGCCUUAGGAGAAUCAUGGUCGUUGAUGGACACGGUUUUGGUUAAAGAAACGUCACUCGGCGGUAAUUGUUGAAGUAUUUCUGGAUUAUUAGACAUCCAUUUACGUGCAUGAAAACCGCCGGCCGUAAGAAUAUGAUUUAGUUGCGCGAUUACGUUGGUUGCUUCGUUCGCACUUUCCGCACCCGAAAGAAUGUCAUCGACGUAGGUGUCAUUUAGUAGUAUCUCUGCACCGCGUGGAUGGAUGGAUAAAUGUUCGUCAGCGAGCUGCCGUAGGCAACGAAUUGCCAGAAAAGGCGCACACGAUA